UAACACAUGCAAGUCGAGCGGUAGCACAGGGAGCUUGCUCCUGGGUGACGAGCGGCGGACGGGUGAGUAAUGUCUGGGAAACUGCCUGAUGGAGGGGGAUAACUACUGGAAACGGUAGCUAAUACCGCAUAACGUCGCAAGACCAAAGAGGGGGACCUUCGGGCCUCUUGCCAUCAGAUGUGCCCAGAUGGGAUUAGCUAGUAGGUGGGGUAACGGCUCACCUAGGCGACGAUCCCUAGCUGGUCUGAGAGGAUGACCAGCCACACUGGAACUGAGACACGGUCCAGACUCCUACGGGAGGCAGCAGUGGGGAAUAUUGCACAAUGGGCGCAAGCCUGAUGCAGCCAUGCCGCGUGUAUGAAGAAGGCCUUCGGGUUGUAAAGUACUUUCAGCGGGGAGGAAGGCGAUAAGGCUAAUAACCUUGUCGAUUGACGUUA
rnacentral:rRNA from 1 species